rnacentral:lncRNA from 1 species
UCUUUUGAUCAUAAAAAAGCUUCUGUCCAAGUUUGGUAGAAAUCCAGUAUAGUUUAAGAAAGUUAUUGAAAUUUUAAAUCUUUAACCACAGAGUGAAUGUGCUGGUGUCCUGUAGCCAUUCUUCCCCUAUUCCAAUUUUUCUGGGGUAAAACCAGGAUCAGGCCAAUGUUUCCCCCUUGUAGCACGAGAAGCUAAAUCCCCC